rnacentral:ribozyme from 1 species
UUCUCUUGUUUCCAUUUUGUUUUUUACUUUUACUUGCGUCGUGCUUUUUUUUUCUUUUUCUUUUUUCUUUUUAAAUACGUGCCGCGAGGUUUACAUAA